rnacentral:rRNA from 1 species
GAUGAACGCUGGCGGCGUGCCUAAUACAUGCAAGUCGAGCGAACAGACGAGGAGCUUGCUCCUCUGACGUUAGCGGCGGACGGGUGAGUAACACGUGGAUAACCUACCUAUAAGACUGGGAUAACUUCGGGAAACCGGAGCUAAUACCGGAUAAUAUAUUGAACCGCAUGGUUCAAUAGUUAAAGACGGUUUUGCUGUCACUUAUAGAUGGAUCCGCGCCGCAUUAGCUAGUUGGUAAGGUAACGGCUUACCAAGGCAACGAUGCGUAGCCGACCUGAGAGGGUGAUAGGACACACUGGAACAGAAACGCGGUCCAGACUACUACGAGAGGCAGCAGUAGGGAAUCUUCCGCAAUGGGCGAAAGCCUGACGGAGCAACGCCGCGUGAGUGAUGAAGGUCUUCGGAUCGUAAAACUCUGUUAUUAGGGAAGAACAAAUGUGUAAGUAACUAUGCACGUCUUGACGGUACCUAAUCAGAAAGCCACGGCUAACUACGUG